UACAGAGGUCUCAAGCGUUUGUUCGGAAUUACUGGGCGUAAAGGGCGCGUAGGCGGUGCGGUAAGUCACCUGUGAAAUCUCCUGGCUCAACUGGGAGCUUGCAGGCGAAACUGCCGUGCUGGAGUGUGGGAGAGGUGAGUGGAAUUCCUGGUGUAGCGGUGAAAUGCGCAGAUAUCAGGAGGAACACCGGUGGCGAAGGCGGGUCUCUGGGCCGAUACUGACGCUGAGGCGCGAAAAGCGUGGGGGAGCAAACAGG
rnacentral:rRNA from 1 species